rnacentral:rRNA from 1 species
GACGUAGGGUCCGAGCGUUGUCCGGAGUUACUGGGCGUAAAGGGCGCGUAGGCGGCUUUGUGCGUCACACGUGAAAGCCCCUGGCUUAACCAGGGAGGGUCGUGUGAAACGGCGAAGCUGGAGGCAGAGAGAGGCUGGUGGAAUUCCCGGAGUAGUGGUGAAAUGCGUAGAUAUCGGGAGGAACACCGGUGGCGAAGGCGACUUACUGGACACAUAUUGACGCUGAGGUGCGAAAGCGUGGGGAGCAAACAGG